AGCGGCGGACGGGUGAGUAACGCGUGGGUAACCUGCCUCAUACAGGGGGAUAACAGUUGGAAGCGGCUGCUAAUACCGCAUAAGCGCACAGUACCGCAUGGUACCGUGUGAAAAACUCCGGUGGUAUGAGAUGGACCCGCGUCUGAUUAGCUAGUUGGUGGGGUAACGGCCUACCAAGGCGACGGUCAGUAGCCGACCUGAGAGGGUGACCGGCCACAUUGGGACUGAGACACGGCCCAA
rnacentral:rRNA from 1 species